rnacentral:tRNA from 1 species
UCCUGGCUGGCUCAGUGGGUAGAGCAUGUGACUCUUGAUCCCAAGGUUGUGAGUUUGAGCCCCAUGUUGGAUG